GUGUGUGUGUGUGUGUGUGUGUGUGUGUGUACACUUACACACACACACACACACACACACACACAUAU
rnacentral:miRNA from 1 species